UGAGGAAUAUUGGGCAAUGCCCGCAAGGGUGACCCAGCAACGCCGCGUGGAGGAUGAAUGUCGUAAGAUUGUAAACUCCUGUUAGAGGGGAAGAAUAGUACCGGUUGGACCGGUAUAUGACUGUACCCUCAGAGAAAGCCCCGGCUAACUACGUGCCAGCAGCCGCGGUAAUACGUAGGGGGCAAGCGUUGUCCGGAUUUACUGGGUGUAAAGGGCGCGCAGGCGGGAUAAAAAGUCAGUGGUGAAAUCCUACAGCUUAACUGUAGAACUGCCUUUGAUACUUUUAUUCUUGAGUUCGGGAGAGAGAGACGGAAUUCCAUGUGUAGUGGUGAAAUACGUAGAUAUCUGGAAGAACACCAGUUGCGAAGGCGGUCUCUUGGUCCGACACUGACGCUGAGGCGCGAAAGCGUGGGGAGC
rnacentral:rRNA from 1 species